AGAAAGCAGCUGUAAUUCUGUUGCACACAAUUUAGACUUACAAGACUAACGUCAGAAAGUAGUAGAGUUUCCGAUAAAUUUAAAAGAUCAAACUGACUCUUCCGAUCAUGUACACCCAAGCAAAAUCUUCUCCGCUACCGCUCCUCAAUACAACGCGAGAGACACUCACAACGAUCGUUUGUAUGCUCUGCAGUUGCAGAGAACAUACUCAAAGAUUGGUGGCCUCGUCGCGUAUUGUGAUUGGCGGUAGUUUUAAAACCAAUCCAUAAUACUGUAACUGGAACUGCUGUUCGGUGACAUUUUUCGUGUUAUAUAAUCAGAUUGGAGUCUACUAAUUCCAGAAAAUAAUGACGGAAAAAUUGGCUUGAUGGUUUUGCAAAAUCAUUUUGCAGUGAGAAAACUGCCCUGCCCUCCAUUAGUGCUUAACAUCUCUAUUAAACAUCACCGUUCAUGUUCUGUAUUAAUCUAUAUUGCUUUGGCAUCGUAAUGAAUUUAUAAUAUUUAUUUUUAAAAAUCAAUUUAGGAAAUGUGUUAUGAAUUAUCACAGCUUGGCUCUGAGCUUGUGUAUGCCAAUCCAAGGUUGCAGGCUUCAACUGGAACGAGAUUACAGCAUUCUAAACAAUCUAGACUAGAAAUCAUAAAGUAGGAAAUUACAUUGUGAUGUUGCUCCACUGGAGUCUUUACUGAGUUGCAUACCAUUACUGCAUUAUAACAGAACUUUCCCUCCAGGGUAGGGAUCAGUCUAAUCACUUUACUCCAAAUGAGAAAGUUGCACAGCAAAACUGAGGCUAAACCCUGGCAAAAUAACUAAUAAUAUAGAUAAUAAUAUUAAUUAAUUAAUUAAAUUAUUGAUGGAUGGACAAACAAAUAUGUUUUAUUUUAAUGGUAAUUUUUAUAACUAUUGGAUUUUUAGAUUAUAAUUAUAUAGGUUGCAUCAUCAAAGGAAAAUAUAGGAUUGAUGUUUUGUCCUACCUGAGGUGUUAUACUGAAUACACUAAAUUCUUAUAUACUGAUGAAAAACAUUUGCAAGUGAUUUGUGUGGGAAUUGAACCUACAACCUCUAGAAAACAAGCCUGUUGCCAUAACCACUAGGUCACAAAUCUUGCACUUGGUGACGUACUGAGAAUUCAGUACAAUAGCGAACUUUCGAAAUGGGUGAUGCGGGGAGCUGCGACGGAGAAUUCAGUCAACCAUGAACGUCGUACUAUGCACUUCCCGUCUCAACAUCAAACUGUUUCGAUUUACAGGACGACGCGCUCCCUCAUAUCGCGUGAUCAAUUAUGCAGGCGCUUCAGCGAGCACGUAUUUAUAAAACUCACAUUACCGUAGUCAACACAACGCCAAAUUGCUUAAAGCCUGUUGUCAAAUCCAUGCAACGAACGACUUCCCCAUGUAUUCGCAUGCGCAGUAUGUUUUCACGCUCCACUGCCCGUCGUAGAAUGCCGCGUCGUCCAAAUUGAAAUCUACUUAAUAACAUGCAAGACAAAACAAAAAAAUUUAUAAAAAUGAAGGCAAAACAUCACCCCUAUGAUAUUUUCCUGAUGCAUACACACAUUGAAAAUUAACUUUGUUUUACUGUGUGAAUAUUAAUUUGUAUGAAUUACAUUUCUGCACUAAAAUGAUUAUUCAUUUAUCAUAUCCUGAAUUGAUAUUGUUAUUGAUAAUACUAUAUAGAAUAUAUCCCAGGAGUUUCUCACUUGCCGAAGGAUGUCUAAUGUCUUUGGAAUAUCAUCACACCAGAAUAAAUCCCUCUUGUAUAUUGCAUCUUUUUCAUGCAUUUAUUACUUAUUAAAUAGUUUAUAUUAUACUGUAAUCAGUUUUCAUUAUGUAUUUAAUAAGCCCUCUUGUAGUUUCAACAGCGCAUGAAUACGUCGAAGGUCAAACAUCUAUAUCAUCUGCAUUUAUUACUUAUUAAACAGUUGAUAUUAUACUGCAACCAGUUUUCAUUAUGUAUUUAAUAUGCCCUCUAGUAGUUUCAACAGUGCAUGAAUAUGUCAAAGGACAAAUAUUUAUAUCAUUUGCAUUUAUUUUAUUAAACAGUUGAUAUUUAUGGUGCAAAAUGUUGCAAUCAAUUUUCAUUAUGUAUUUAAUAAGCUCUCUGGUAGUUUCAACAGUGCAUGAAUAUGUCAAAGGUCAAAUAUCUAUAUCAUCUGCAUUUAUUACUUAUUAAACAGUUGAUAUUUAUGGUGCAAAAUGCUGCAAUCAAUUUUCAUUAUGUAUUUAAUCAAUAUAAUCUAUGAUAGAAGAGUUAUUUAUAAUUUAAUUAUUAUUACAAGAUCUGGAAAUGUAGAGUCUUAGUCGAGAUUAGAUAAUGAUUAGUGUACUAAUUUGAUUGUGACAUAAUCAAUUAUACCAAGCUUAGAAGUUGAUCUAAGAUGCUAAUUGCCCCUAGACAUCACUGGAUUGGCAACAUCAUGUCCCUGACUCUGUGAUAGGAUCAAUAGACUACAGAGUGGUUUAAUAUUGAGCUAAGGAAUUGACACUAAGCUAUUGCUGCAAAGAGGGCACUUGUCGAUGUUGUAUUAAGUCUCAUUUCAUGUCUGUGUUUUUGGCAAAGAAUGAGUUUCACACAAAAACUCAAUUAGAGUAAGGUCAUUCACACAAGAACUCAAGGUAAUUAGAGUAAUGAGUCUCACUCACACAGAACUCAAGGUAAUUAAAUUAAGGAGUCUCACUCACACAAGAAUACCUGAUGUAAUUAUAGUAAGGAGCCUCACUCACACAAGAACUACCUGAUGUAAUUAGAGUAAGGAGUCUCAACUCACACAAGAACUCAAGAUAUUUAGAGUAAAGGAGUCUCACUCACACAAGAACUACCCGAUGUAAUUAUAGUAAGGAGUCUCAACUCACACAAGAACUCAAGAUAUUUAGAGUAAAGGAGUCUCACUCACAUAAGAACUCAAUGUAAUUAGAGUAUUUUCACUCGAACACAAGAACUCAAGGUAAUUGGAGUAAGGAAUCUCAUACAAGAACCCAAUAAAUAUUGGCACCGAGUUUCGAACCAGUUGAAAAGCAUUCCAAAACCGAGUUUUGCAAAGAAAGCUAACUUACCUGUACUCUACUUAGAUCAAUCCAAGAUUCCAAGAUACAAUUCUUCAAAGAUAUGCGAGUCAAGCAAUUAUAACAUAGUACAGUACGAUUGCAUCAUGUGAUAAGGUAUACAAGUCUAUAUUUUCUCACCUUUGUGUUAUCCUGUCUAAUUGGGGAUGCCUGAAGAUGUGAUUAAAUUGAAUAUUCAAUAAUGGGUCAUCAAAUUAGAUGACCUCAAAUCAGUGUAGCUUGCAUCUACUGAAUUUGAUGUGUCAAACGAUACUAUAGACUGGGGGUAAAACUGAAAUUGCCUCUGGUCCAUAAUAAUAUCCAACUGUAUUUUAGACUACUUCCUUUGUGCUCAAGAACUCUAUGUGUUGGUAGAGUCCUGCAGUGAUUUAAGCAGUUCUCACAGCUUUUAUGUACAUUCUAUUAAUUUUAAACAGCUAUUGGUCAUAUGUUUCGACAAGUCCAUUUUCCACAUAGGUAAAAAUGAACUCAAUAAAUCAAUGUUUUAAAACAAAUGCAUAUAUAUGACCAGCUCUGGCAAAACCCUCCAUUUGUCGCAAUUUCUAAUUUCCAACAAU